UUGCAAGGAAUGCAGCUGCUUGUAG
rnacentral:miRNA from 1 species